rnacentral:rRNA from 1 species
UACGUAGGGUGCGAGCGUUAAUCGGAAUUACUGGGCGUAAAGCGUGCGCAGGCGGUCUGUUAAGACCGAUGUGAAAUCCCCGGGCUUAACCUGGGAACUGCAUUGGUGACUGGCGGGCUAGAGUAUGGCAGAGGGGGGGUAGAAUUCCACGUGGUAGCAGUGAAAUGCGUAGAGAUGUGGAGGAAUACCGAUGGCGAAGGCAGCCCCCUGGGCCAAUACUGACGCUCAUGCACGAA